AACGCCACUCACGGAGGUAGAGCUGCAGCCACUGCGACGCAUACCCACACAGAUAUAUACGCAUUCCUACAGGCGCACACGCAUUCAAACGCACACGGCGUGACACACACUCUCUGUCUGUCUGUCUGACUCCCCUCUUUUAUUCAGAUUACCUUCUCGUUGAGAUUUGUGUGUUGGGUCGUUCCCUACCCCCUCUUCGAUACACAUACACACGCAUAUAUAUAUAUAUAUAUACUCCUCAUCUUCCCUUUUCUUCGUCGUCGCCCGCCUCGUUUGAUGUUGUUGCUGCUGCUGCUGCUGCUCUCUCCUUCGCACCUUACGCCCGCCUUACGCACGACUCUCCGUGCAUCUCCCCUCCCCCUCCUUUCUUCCUCUUCAUGUGAGGUGGGCUGUGCGAGUUGACGCGAAGCGGACCACACAAACGCAUACGCACGCGCAGACUCUCUUUCUCUCCGUUUAGCCCUUCUCGUACAUCAUGACGUCUACGUCGCGCGCCGAACGGGAGAACCUAGUCUCCGUCUUUGCCGGCGGGUUUGCCGGCGUCUGCUCGACGUGCGUUACGAACCCUCUCGACACUAUCCGCGUGCGCCUAUCGGCCGGCCGGUCUGCCACAGGAAAGUCACACAAGAGUCUCCUCAUCACAGCACGCGAGCUCUUCAACGAAGGCCUCUUUCACGCCUUCAGUCGCGGUCUCGGUGCCAACAUCAUGGCUUCCAUGCCUUCCAACGCCAUCUACCUUCCCACCUACCGCUUUCUCAAGGGCGAGCUCGCUGAUUCGAGGGUGAGCGAGCAGGUGCGACCGAUGAUCUGCGCCUUUGGUGCCGUCACGGCGACUAACCUGACCCUCUCCCCGCUGUUUGUGAUUCGGACCCGUGUGCAAGUUGACGACAAGCUUACGAUUCACCAAGUGCUGAGCGAUGUUAUGCGCCGCGAUGGCAUGCGUGGCCUCUACCGCGGCACAGUCACCAACAUCGCUGGCCGCUUUGUAGAAGAGGGGUGCUUCUGGACCGUGUAUGAGCUGCUCAAGCGUGUGACGCACGAGGGCAGCUUCGGCGAGCGCGGCUUCUGGUGGUCCUCGGCGGCGAUGGUGUCCUUGACGAUGAUAGCGAAGCUAGUUGCAGUCGGCAUUGCGUACCCGUACAACGUCGUCAUGAACCACCUGCGCACGGUGAACAAGGUAACGGGGGAGCACGACUACGUGCGGGUGAUGCCAACAAUGCGGCACAUUUACGCAGCGGACGGCUUCCUCGGCUUCUACAAGGGAUUGGCCCCGCAGAUGCUACGCAGCGUCAUUAGCAAGGCCACGCAAAUAUACUCGUUUGAGCUGGUGCUAUUCACCUAUGCGCAGGUAUACCACCGCAAGCCACUGCCAGUCCCGGCGGUGCGCAUCAUCGACCCUGCCGCUGAGUCCGACGGAUCGGCAGUCGAGUAACGCAUUAGAGGCGACAGAGAGAGACAAGAGAGAGAGUGGGGCCGUGAGUAAAGGGCGGGCAGUUCUGCUACAAGAGGGGAUGGCAGGGACUCUCGCACACGAGGCGGGGCGACGCUGCCGGUCGCUGAGCGUUCUUUUUCACAUCACUACCUCCCUGCGUUUCCUUCCCCUCUCCCCUUCCCCUCUCUUGCCGUCCCUCACCGCAGGCACACGUGCGUUUGCGUACAAGAGGCUCGUGGAGAGAAGAACCCGGUACGUUCAGCAUAGAGUCUGAGUUGCCCUAGUUGCACCAGUGAGUGAAUGAGGGAGGGGAGGGCGGGCGUGGUGGCUCCCCUUCGCUUCUUCCCUGUCCACACGCUCACUUGCCUUCUUUGCGUCUCCGCCCCAUCACACGGGGGCCCUCUUCCCGUGGACACGGAGGGAGGGAGUGGGGCCGCCAUUGUAACGCAGAGAAACAGAUGAGACCAACACGCACACGCACAGACACAUACGCCAACGCUGCGAAGACACCAUCGUGUGCAGUGAGAAGGCGAGUCUCGAGCAAAGGAAGAAGGAAGGUGAGGGAAGGACUCUGCCACAUAUCUCUCGCUUCUGUCUUUCUCCCCUCUCGUUCUCUCUCUGCCCGUGCGUGUGGGCCGCUCGCUGCUGUUGUUGACGACUGAAGCCGUGAUGAUGACGGGGGUGUCACCUCGGCGUGUGUCGUCUCUGCCACCGUGAGCACCUCAGCAAG
rnacentral:misc_RNA from 1 species